ACUUACUCUUUUGGUUCUCCGGUCCAUUUGACAACACUUUUUGGGCACUCAAAUUCGUAUUCCUUGGCCAAUUUUUAAAUUUUUCAUGCUGAUUUGAAGGCCAUUAAAGCAUUUGAACCAGUCGAAAAAUUUUAAGUUGUAUAUCUUUUACGGUUUUUGUGGGAAGUCGUGUUAAAGUUGAUGCCGUGGUGUUAGUAAAAUGGUACCCUUAUAAAAGCUCAGAUUUAUUUUCUGACAGAAAGCUAGAAAUAAUCCAAAAUAUCAAAAUUGUUCUACACUCAUUUUAAUGACAGUUCAUGACCUUAAAUUGCACGAGAAAUUUAUUAAACUCGGAUUCAGAGUUCCUUAUGCCUUAAACUUCAGGUUUUACCAAUGUGGCCCAGGUUAUCUCGUGUCAAAUGACUGAAAAAAGAACACCAACAAAAACCUGCCUCCAUUUAUAACUGACUAGAAACCCGCUAGUCGAAAGCUUUGUUCGAGGAAAUUAAAAAAAUUAUUUAUGUUUAAAUUUAUCUAGUCUCUUCACAUCACCAUUUAGCUCAAAGCUCUUUACUGUAGAAAGUAUGGAUUUUAUUUGACAAUGACGAAAACUUUGUAAGUAUUCGGUCAUCAAAAUGAGUUUAUAACAAGGUCGAUAUUUUGGUAAAUUUUUUUUCUGUCAUAAAUUGAAUUUGGGUUUCUAUAGGGGGUAAUAGAGAUAUACUACAGUACAGUACUUACAUUCACAUUCACAACCACGGGAGCUCACCUGGUCCAAUGAGCGCGAAACGGAGAACAAGCUCUGGAUACGUCACAGUCACGUGACCUCAGGCUCACAAUCACGUGACCUCAGACCCAAUCAACUGACUUCUGGCCUGGUCAGCCACUGGGAGACUUUGGGUCAGAAAACUGAUCCGGCCCCCAAGAGGGGUCAGAUCACGUCACUAAUUAAUGACGUAUAAUUAGUGAUGUGAUCCAUAGAUUGAAUAUAAUUAACACAGAAAUGGACUAGAUCUGGGGUAGAGUUCACAUGUCAAUUCUGUAAAUCAUAGCUGUACAUUAAGAAGUAAACAUGAUCUAACUGCUCGACUCGUAGAUCACAUAAGGGACGGGAGCUCUUGCUAAAGGAGGGUUCUCGUAUCAAGGGAUGUGAGACGUACUUGCCAAAGGCAUGUAAGGAGAGUGAGCCGAUCAAGUGUUCUUAGGUAUAUAUACUGGAAGAUAGUAGUAUCGCAGGUAGUAGUAUCGCAUUCUAUCAAAAGUCAUGCCUACCUUUUCUACACGACAUACCCAACAAAGAUUGAGUACUUGUUCGCUGUUGCGAAAUACUUUGGUAAUAAUAUUGAGUAAUUUGUUGUAUUCUGAAGUAUUAUAUAUACCAACCAAUACAUUGUCUCAAUUUAAAACAUCCAUGGAUCACAUCACUAAUUAUACGCCACAAGCUUCAAGCUUGCACGUUAAUUAAUUGAUGACGUAUAUUGUGGUCAUAUCACUUCUGACCCAAGGUCUGGCAGUCAGCUCCCUGUAAUUACAUGAUCUUGAGGUGACGUACGACACCUCGCUGCAAAUUUUCACAUGCCAAAAACGUAAGAUUCUUAAGGAGUUGUGCGAGAUGACGAUACAUAGAGGCCGCAGAAUCAUGAGGACUACCAGAUCCUCAUGGUUGAACCUAAGCGAUCCAUGAUAUCACGACAAGCCCUACUAUACGGCUACAGUAAACAAUGAUCAUUAUACUUUCUGCACCAGCAAUACACAAUAUCCAACUCAAAACAGGUAUCUAUUGUAAUUCGUGUUAUGAUGAUAAAAUUACACGUCAGUGUUGAAGGGUUGGGCGGGGUCAAUCAUGAGGCAAAAUGGUUUUCGUGCAUAGCCAGGCCUUGAAGGCCAAAAAGUUAGAAGGUGUGUUUUAAUUGUUUUAUCAACAAACAUUUCUGGCCACAGUUCAUACUUUCAUAGAGCAAUACUGUUUUAGAUUAUGUUAACAAUUUCUUAACCGUUGUAUCCACAAUCUGAAUUAUCAUAUCGAUACCAUUACCACCUUUCUUUCAUACUCAUGGAAUCAAUAUAACGAUCGCAAUACAGAUAUCAAGGAGCUAUGAUGAUGAUGAUGAAGAUUGUGGCAGUAUUUCUACUCGUGGCUGGAUUCAAUGCUCAAUCACAAACACCACCAUGUGUUAAUAAAUUUGACACUAUGAAUGGUUUUGAAAACAUGUGUAAUAUACAUACUACACUUGGGCAAGGAAACUGCCUAGGAGCAAAAGAAGAAACACUUAGAGAAAAUUGCGCUAAAGCUUGCGGUUUCUGCUAUUAGCUAACUGGGUGCUAAGUGCAGAUACCUCUAAUGAUGACGUGAUCACGUUAUACUUGCUCUAACAUGCAGUAGCGCGGGACCGCAGUACGCGUAGACACAUGUGUGAUCACGUGAUACCUGAUGGGUGGAGGUUACGAGGACAAUUAUUCAUUGUUAUCUUAAUCAAUGGGCACAAUAAGUUGAUUUCUGUAAUCAUAGCUUACAAUCUUAUAAUGUGUUUAAAACGAUUCCGUAUUACUAUACUAUUCUUCUAAACUGUAACAAUUUUCCUGUAUUUGAUGCUUUUAGCAUUUGAAUUUAA